CGUUAGCGGCGGACGGGUGAGUAACACGUGGGUAACCUACCUAUAAGACUGGGAUAACUUCGGGAAACCGGAGCUAAUACCGGAUAAUAUUUCGAACCGCAUGGUUCGAUAGUGAAAGAUGGUUUUGCUAUCACUUAUAGAUGGACCUGCGCCGUAUUAGCUAGUUGGUAAGGUAACGGCUUACCAAGGCGACGAUACGUAGCCGACCUGAGAGGGCGAUCGGCCACACUGGAACUGAGACACGGUCCAGACUCCUACGGGAGGCAGCAGUC
rnacentral:rRNA from 1 species